rnacentral:tRNA from 1 species
GGUGUCAUGGUGUAAUGGUUAGCACUCUGGACUUUGAAUCCAGCGAUCCAAGUUCGAAUCUCGGUAAGACCU